rnacentral:ncRNA from 1 species
UUAAAGACAUGGAAGAGAAGAGUAGUAGGCGGAUACUUUUGCAGAGAGUCCUCGUUUGGUGAAAGAGGAUAAAGAUGGGCUUAUGAAGAUGGUCUUGGAGUCGCAUGGUCGAAUUGAUUUAGAUCAUGACGGGCGCGCCCGUUAUAGUGUCAGGGUAUAAUCCGAUUUUUUGGACGUACUCGUUAAGGUUUGUUUCGUGAGGAACAAACAAAAUUAGGUGGUAACGCGAAGCUAUGCUCUCGCCCUAAUG